ensembl:lncRNA
UGAGAUGGGGAGGAGUGGGGGCCAUGUUGUUCUUAGAAUGAGAUGGGGAGGGAGUGGGGGCCAUGUUGUUCUUAGAAUGAGAUGGGGAGGUAGUGGGGGCCAUGUUGUUCUUAGAAUGAGAUGGGGAGGGAGUGGGGGCCAUGUUGUUCUUAGAAUGAGAUGGGGAGGUAGUGGGGGCCAUGUUGUUCUUAGAAUGAGAUGGGGAGGUAGUGGGGGCCAUGUUGUUCUUAGAAUGAGAUGGGGAGGUGUUGCUCUUAGAAUGAGAUGGGGAGGGAGUGGGGGCCAUGUUGUUCUUAGAAUGAGAUGGGGAGGGUGGGGGCCAUGUUGUUCUUAGAAUGAGAUGGGGAGGGAGUGGGGGCCAUGUUGUUCUUAGAAUGAGAUGGGGAGGUAGUGGGGGCCAUGUUGUUCUUAGAAUGAGAUGGGGAGGG